rnacentral:rRNA from 1 species
CGGGGUGCAGCAGGCGCGAAAACUUUGCAAUGCGGGAAACCGUGACAGGGGAACUCCGAGUGCCCGUUAAAUCGGGCUGUCCACCAGUUUAAAUAACUGGUGAAGAAAGGGCCGGGCAAGACCGGUGCCAGCCGCCGCGGUAAUACCGGCGGCUCGAGUGGUGGCCACUAUUACUGGGCUUAAAGCGUUCGUAGCUGGUUUGUUAAGUCUCUGGGGAAAUCUUCCGGCUUAACCGGAAGGCGUCUCAGGGAUACUGGCAGACUAGGGACCGGGAGAGGUGAGGGGUACUCCAGGGGUAGGAGUGAAAUCCUGUAAUCCUUGGGGGACCACCUGUGGCGAAGGCGCCUCACCAGAACGGCUCCGACAGUGAGGGACGAAAGCUGGGGGAGCAAACCGGAUUAGAUACCCGGGUAGUCCCAGCUGUAAACGAUGCGCGUUAGGUGUAUCGGUGACCACGAGUCACCGAGGUGCCGAAGAGAAAUCGUGAAACGUGCCGCCUGGGAAGUACGGUCGCAAGGCUGAAACUUAAAGGAAUUGGCGGGGGAGCA